rnacentral:lncRNA from 1 species
AAAGUUUCAGUGCAAUAUAAGAGUCAAAUCGGUAUGCUGCUCUCUUUGAGUCGAGAAAUCAAGAACGCGGCGGGUCAGUUGCGACUCGUGGAUCGCCAAUUCAUCAUCUCCGACCUAUGGUAUUUAGAAACAUGCGACCAUUUGCGUCGAUCGCUUUCAAAUUGUCAAAUUUGAAAUAAUUGGAAUUAGUUUCGAAUAAAUAGUUUAGAUAGGGCGAGAAAGAAAUGUGUUCGAUAUCGCGGAGGGUAAAGCGAAAGCAUUGAAUCAGGAAGAAACGCAGAUUCGUCUGGCGAGUGCGUAAGUAUAUACGCAUCGUGCGGCUGUAGAGGGGAAUCCACUCACUCGUAUAAAACCGUAGAACGAGUCGCGGCUCGAGUCAGUUUCGCUCGCGCCUCGCGUGAGUUUCGGUUUGUUGUCGGUGAGAUAACGGCGUGUCGUUCCCGUGCUCGACGGCGAAUUUCGAUUUUGCCUACGUUUCUUCGCGUGUUCUAAAUUUUAAAACGCUUGACUCGUUCAAAUUAACUUCAACGGCUGACAUUUGCGUUAGUGGCUUAUCCAUAAGUUAUGUUUCGCGAAAAAAAUCGCGACAGAAUUUUGUGGUCUCCAUCCGUUGCCUUUUUUUGAUACUUCUUCUCGAAGAAUAUUGUAAAUCAUGCUCUCCAACUUUGUUAGGCAAUAACAACGGUGGAUAUUAAAGAGGGAGGGAGAAGAGGAAGAGGCAAUAAGUGGAAUCGCGAAGGAAUACGUACGAAUUAUAUCAAGUUUUUUAAUUAACGUCCCUGAGCAGGGCCGCGACGGCCCAAGACACGCAGCUUGCAAAUUAACCGCAAAGUUCGAUCGAUUCGUUUUGGAAAAACUUUGGAAAAUCAUUUAAUUAAACGAGUAAAUUCGAGAUAAGCUGCCGCGAUAACCAAGUUUCAACCGGCGAAACGAUAGAUUCGAAGGAAGCACUGGAUUGGAAAAGCGAUUAUCGAGCGACCAGCCUAUUAAUUACCGGGAUCGGAGGGGAAAUUUUCACUAGGGUCUAGCGGGAGGUCGAAAGGAGGAGAGGAGCAGCAGGUUCGCCGAGAUGGAUGAACGCCCCGACGAGACGAUUCGACGACACGUGUGAACGUGGAAAAUGCGUUCGGUUAACGAAAGAUCGUUGUUCGAGGAGAAAAAUAUCAAUCCUCCUGUUCGAGGAUCGCACGUGUGGUGAACGUGGUGUGAAAAAAAAAGAAGAAGCUGUAUGGGUGUUCGGUAUAUUUGAAAAGUCGAGGAAGGAAACACGUUGGGCCAAGUUAUUAGCGAACGACGUCGUUUCCAAGUGCCGGUGUGGAGGAAGGAAGAGUGUGUUAAUCAACAGCAGCAUCGUCGGUGGGGUAUAAUGGCGGUUCGCUGAAAGGAGGAACGCACGAGGGGGAAGGUCACGACGUUCGUUCACGAGACGGCCUGGUAUGACGUGACGAGAGGAAACCGCUUUGGUUGGUGCACUUCCAUCGCGAGUAUUCCAGAAAAGAAAUCUACCAUGAGAGCGUCUCGAGUAGCUGCGGCGCUGUUGAUCCUCUGUUACGCCAUCGAGCGGCGGAUUGCUUGGAAACGUUAUAUAUAUAUAUAGGAUAAUAAGAGGGAAGGAAAAAAAUCGAUUUAGUUAGCGUAAUUUGUUAGCCGUAAUUGCAUAUUCUGGUAACGGGGUCACAGAAUCUCGGAUAUCUUUUUAAGAGGUCAGGAAAAAUCGUUGCGUAAUAAUAAACGAAUAUAAACUUAUAUAAACGUAGUUAACCAGAGUUUGUCGUAAAUAAAAUUGUAUUUUAUUUUUCGAUCGAAUCACUUGAAACACUCGCUCAACUGUCGCGGAGCGAAGGAUCGAAUAAACGAAAUGCGUGCGCCACUCGAAAAGGUUAACGUUGCGGUUAGCCUUUACCUUAGCAACCCAUUAUCCAACAACGCCCCGUCGAUAAGGUCGCGACGUUGCAUUUAAUCGCGAACGAGAUUUCCUUUAUCCCGGGGAAAAUACGCGCGCGCCUUGUACAAUUGGGAUUACCAUCACGCAUUCUUGGUACCGUAAUUAUGUCAGUUACACAGAGAGCACGUUUAUGUAUGUUUAGCGAGGAGAGGGAUUGCGACGUAAAAGUGUAAUUCGUUUUAAAGCGAAACCGCCAACGUUCCCCCUUCCUGAAAAUGUUGGAAUAAUCAAUGAAAUAAAAUUCAUAACGAUAACUAUUAUCGAUCCGUUCCGCCUACGUUUCCGAAGAAACGAAUCUUUGUAGCGAUACAGAGAUCCUUUUUGCGACUGAAAUUAAUACAAAAACUGCUUUGACGUUAGAAGGAACGUUAAUUCAGGAAAAUAUGGAUUAUUCGUCGAGAAAAAUCUUUGGUUGUACCAUCAAGUAUAAAAAUAAUCCUUCCCAAAAAAAUAAACUAAAUUUCCUACCGAAAGUUUCUUUCGAGGUUAAACAUUACUCGAUCGAUUUUGUCUCCGCUCGCGGAUACCAUAUUAUCCUGGUUUCACCGGAUCGAUCGGAAUAGCAGGUUAGAUUGAGCUCUCGGUGAGCGAUAAUCGGCGGAGGGGGGGGAGGAUAUGCAGCCGCCUUUUACAAGCCUUCCGCUCCUUCGUAGAGUGUAAAAAUAUUUUUACGUUCGACGUCAUGCAUAUUUUUAACGGCGCGUCAGUCACACGGUCGGCUUUCGGCUGCUUGACGGUUAAACGCGACCCGCUGGAUUACCCACGUAAGGAGGAGUAUUGGAUUCCGCUGCGUUCGGCGCGGGUGAUAAUGCCGGGAACGAAUCUCAGAUUUCGCUUCGGCUCGCGUAACGUUUCACGGGGAGAGCGCGCCAAGUGGAAACGAAACCGGAAUAAUGCUCGGCUGGAUCGAACACGGCCAAGCUUUUAAUCCCGUUUCGAGUUAAUCCUGUUUCUCCUUCUAAAUACCCUGGAACACGGUAUUCGGCGCGAGGAAAAAUACCU